GACGAAGGAUGCAAGCGUUAUCCGGAUUCAUUGGGUUUAAAGGGAGCGUAGGUGGCCUUAUAAGUCAGUGGUGAAAUACUUCGGAGCUUAAACCUCGGAAAUUGCCAUUGAUACUGUAGGGCUUGAGUAUAGUUCCGGUUGGCGGAAUAUGACAUGUAGUGGUGAAAUACAUAGAGAUGUCAUAGAACACCGAUUGCGAAGGCAGCUGACGAAACUAUAACUGACACUGAGGCUCGAAAGUGCGGGGAUCAAACGG
rnacentral:rRNA from 1 species